rnacentral:rRNA from 1 species
GCUUGUCUCAAAGAUUAAGCCAUGCAUGUCUAAGUAUAAGUAGUAUACAGCGAAACUGCGAAUGGCUCAUUAAAACAGUUAUAGUUUAUUCGAUAGUAAAAUUACAUGGAUAACCGUGGUAAAUCUAUGGCUAAUACAUGCGCAAAGGCCCGACCCUGAAGGGCUGUAUUUAUUAGAUCUAACCAUCAUUUGGUGAAUCAUAAUAACUGUUCGAAUCGCACGGGCAACCGGCGAUAGUUCAUUCAAAUUUCUGCCCUAUCAGCUUUCGACGGUAGUGUAGUGGACUACCGUGGCGUUAACGGGUAACGGAGAAUUAGGGUUCGAUUCCGGAGAGGGAGCCUGAGAAACGGCUACCACAUCCAAGGAAGGCAGCAGG